CUGCACUGAGCUCCAAAUGAUGUUCAGUUUGGGCAGAACAGGGACAGUUUCCUCUCACCAAAAUUUGUAUGAGAGUGUAUUUUUGAUAACAAAUGAAAAAUCCUUCCAUUAAACAGAAAAGCCCCUUUUAUUUAGCUUUAAAAAGAAUUUGAACUAUUGAUAGGUAAGAAAAAAUUAAUCUGGACAUCUUUUCUGAUUUAUUGUGUUUAAAAUAUAAAUGCAGAGGAUGUUUCUGGAAACUAUCUUCCAUUGGAGAAAAACUGAAGUCUUACAGGGCUAUGUAAUAAAGCAGAAAUAUUUAAAGCAAAGAGCAAAAAAACCCACAAUGUUUCUGAAAGAGUUUUGGAAGGAAACAUGGAAAGCAUAAAUUGGUAAAUGUAGAAAUCCUCUCCUGCCUUUCAAUUCUCAAAAUCUAGAGCAGGGAGACUUUGGAUAUCAGCGACUCUUUGCUUUAUAGAAAUGAUAAAGCCACACCUUAUCCACACUGUGCCCUCAUAAUGUGUAUCAAUUCACAUUAGAGAAGCAUACAGACUUUAAAAAAUGCAUUUUGUCUUUUCUUUCUUCUCCUCCUUCCCAAAGACAGAUCAAUUGCUUUGUCUGCUUUGCACAAGUGUGAGGACACCAAGACACGGAGAUGGGAGUGGUCUUGCCCAAGGUCAUACUGCAAACAAAUUGUCAUGGCAAGAGUCACUCAUCAGUUGCUGUGAGGAACAGCAGAGGAAAAUGUGGUCCAGCCUCAUAUGUUCCACUGUCAUCAUGGCACUGUGUUUCAGAUCCACUCUGUGUGCAGAUCACAGUGGACAAUGGAGGCAAAGGAGGAGAAAUGAAGAUGACUGAAGGACAAGUGAUAUGUUACCCUGUUCUUUCUUGGCAAGGCUGCAAAAUACCACCUUUGAGGAAGACUCUUUCUCAUUCCUGAAACCACUUGGGUUUAAUUUGUUUCCCUUCUAGUAAUUCCUGGCUCCAGCUUCCUUAUAACUCUCAACAACUGCUCCUACAACCUGGCUGCAAAUGUAGCAUCUCAGUUCCCCAGCAUCCUGCCUGGCUGCAGUACAGAGAGAGGCAAAAAAAGAGUGCUGGAUAGAAUGCAACUGCUUUUCUGUCUUUCCUGAGAAAAUUAUUUUUUUAAAGAUACUUUCAUAUCAAAACCUAAAUGGUUGGGUGUCUUUCCUAACUGAAUAAGAGUCAAUCCUCUAAAAAGACAACUGCUCACCUAACUGUAGACAAUUACCUCAGCUGCAUGGGAUGAACCUGGGCCAGAGGCUUUUAACAGGCGAUGGCUGGAAAUGGGCAACUUUUGGGUCCUGGAGGUAUCUGCAUCUCUUAGGGUCCCAGCAAGCCUUCCUGAUCCAAACCCCAGUGUGGGGCCUUCUUGAAACCACCCUCCUCGUGAGAGGAUCCUGGCCACUGGUGAGACUACAUGGGUGGUGCACCAGUGUCUAAGGAGGGGAAGAGCAGCGCCUGCCCCAUUUGAGAGUCCCAGUGCAGUGCCAGUGGGCAGGUGGCAAGUACCUGAGCUGGAGGGAAGCCAAGAUACCAGGGUUAACAACCCUGAUCUUGCGGAAAAAAAAGCCUUGGGAUCUUUAAUGACCACAAAUGGCUAAGACUUUUGCUUUAUAUCUCUUUUUUUUUCUGCAGAGCAAUUAUGCACAUUUUAGCUGGGGAGCUUUUAUUCUCAUGCAGACGGGAUAGAUAGCACAGUGUCCUCUCCCAAGCACAUUCAGACAUAGUCAGUCCAAGUGCCCAGAACAACAUGAGACAUGUUUGACCUUCACAACUUUCCUUUACAGACCAGGAAGCUAAAACCCUGAAGGAAUUUUCCUGAGUGAGUUUGUCCAAAGCAACAUUCACCACCUCAUUCAAUAUUUGCCUGCAAAAAAAAUGCCAAUUAUUAAGAGACAGUCCUGGCUGGGCAUCAAUAGGCAGCCAGGUGUGAGAAGUUGAAGAGAAAUACAUCUCAUUAAUGUGGAAUUGUUUUUAGGUUAAUAAUCUUGCGUUAAUUUUCCUUUAAAAUAUUGUCUUUGACCGUUAAACGCUCGCACUGUUAUAAAAAGAACGUAAUAAAUGAUCUUGAAGCAAA